CUCUCACAUUCUAUCUCCCUUUCUUCUCUCUUGUUGAGGUUAGGGUUUUUCGAUCUCCUUCUGCGAUUCCUGGAUUCUACGUCGACGUUCAGCGGAUCAAGAUUAUCUGCUUUGUGUUUGGCUAGGAUAACUUACCCAAGCUAUAUUGCAAAUUUGCUUUGGAGUGAACAUAGUGGUGUUGGUUUUGGACCAUUUGAUGUGUGACGACUCGUGUCUUUUCCAUCAUUGUUUGAGUAAAAGGAAAGGUGCUAUUACUUAGGGAGAUUGUGCUUGGUUAGUUCAGUCUGGACAAGCGAAAUUUUAGUUUUACUUUGGAAAUUACUGUCAUUCAAAAUUAAUCCUGGGAAGGAAGUGUACACACCAUCAGAGGAGGAUUCCUUGUAUCCAUGCUGGCAGAGAGCAUGCGUGGAAUUUGUGCUUCAGGUAAUGCCCCUGUCGAGAUCUGCUGCCGAUGCAUUCGGUGUGGUGACAAUUUGCCUAGUUGCUCUCUUGAUUCUUCUUGGUUUACUUUGCAUUGCUUACUCAUUUUACUUCCGCUCUCGUGUUCGUAGUCAAGACUUUACUCAACUCACUUAUUUUAGCGGUCCUUGGAUUAUCCGAAUCACAUUCAUUUUGUUUGUAAUCUGGUGGGGUUUUGGUGAGAUUACACGGUUAAGUUUCUUGAGGCGUGACGGGAGGGUGUUGAAUGCCCUAGACUUGAAAUGGCAGGAAACUGUUUGCAAAGGCUACAUUGUCUCAAAUAUGGGUUUUGCAGAACCUUGUUUAUUCCUUACCCUAGUGUUUCUCCUUCGUGCACCCCUACAGAGGAUGGAAACAGGAAUUCUAAGUCGAAAAUGGAACGGGAGAACUGUAGGAUAUGUUCUCCUUUAUUGCCUUCCCAUUUUUGCUCUUCAGCUCUUCAUUAUUCUAAUUGGACCAAAAUUGCGUAAUAAUAAAGGCUCCUUACAAAAAUUGCCCCAUUAUUUUACAAGCACAGCUAGUCCUAUGUCAGAAAAUGCUGAUGCUGCCCUCUGCACUUACCCUUUACUAAAUACCAUCCUCCUAGGGCUUUUUGCCACCAUACUAACUGUCUAUCUGUUUUGGCUUGGAAGGCGGAUUUUGAAAUUGGUCAUCAAUAAGGGUUUACAGAAGAGAGUCUACACAUUAAUAUUCUCUGUUUCUAGCUUUCUCCCAUUAAGGGUUCUUCUACUUGGGCUAUCUGUUUUAUCUAAACCAGAGGAUUUUCUGUUUGAAGCUCUUGCUUUUGCAGCUUUUCUUGCCCUUUUAUCUUGUGCUGGGGUUUGUAUUUUCAUGAUUGUGUACUUCCCAAUUGCGGAUUCUUUGGCCCUGGGGAAUCUUCAGGACUUGGAGGCUAGGAGAAGAAUCAUUGACGAGCACAAUGACAUCAUUUCUCUCAUUGCUAACCAAAGUCAUCUUGAAGAAAGCAGUCGUUUAAGCCCUGGAAGAAACUCUGAUGCCUCAACCAAGCGUGGAUCAAUUUCCUUUCGAACUUAUGAAAGGGAUGGGACUUCAACAGGGCCAUUUGUGGAACUAAGCCUCUUCUCUCCUAGUCAAGAUGCAACCCCACCAGGAUCACCUCCACUUCUUGGUUGGCCUAUGCGUCCACCAAGGCAAGCACAGGGGUACUAAAUGCGGGCAAGGAACUGAGUACUCAUGGUGAAUAUCAAUUUUGUGGUAAAGAAAAACUGAUUGUAAAGGGUUAGUUUCAAUAAGAAUUUUUAUUCUUGGUUUGUUUUCUAAUUUUAGAUAUGUCGUGGUGGUUUUGGUUCAUGAAAUUCAUUAACC
rnacentral:misc_RNA from 1 species